AAUACCGCAUAAGCGCACGGGGACGCAUGUUUCUGUGUGAAAAACUCCGGUAGUAUAAGAUGAGCCCGCGUCUGAUUAGCUGGUUGGUGGGGUAACGGCCUACCAAGGCGACGAUCAGUAGCCGGCCUGAGAGGGUGAACGGCCACAUUGGGACUGAGACACGGCCCAAACUCCUACGGGAGGCAGCAGUGGGGAAUAUUGCACAAUGGGGGAAACCCUGAUGCAGCGACGCCGCGUGAGUGAAGAAGUAUUUCGGUAUGUAAAGCUCUAUCAGCAGGGAAGAAAAUGACGGUACCUGACUAAGAAGCCCCGGCUAACUACGUGCCAGCAGCCGCGGUAAUACGUAGGGGGCAAGCGUUAUCCGGAUUUACUGGGUGUAAAGGGAGCGUAGACGGCGCGGCAAGUCUGAAGUGAAAGGCAGGGGCUUAACCCCUGAACUGCUUUGGAAACUGCCAUGCUAGAGUGCUGGAGAGGUAAGUGGAAUUCCUAGUGUAGCGGUGAAAUGCGUAGAUAUUAGGUGGAACACCAGUGGCGAAGGCGGCUUACUGGACAGUAACUGACGUUGAGGCUCGAAAGCGUGGGGAGCAAACAGGAUUAGAUACCCUGGUAGCCCACGCCGUAAACGAUGAAUACUAGGUGUUGGUGGGCAAAGCCCAUUUCGGUGCCGCCGC
rnacentral:rRNA from 1 species